rnacentral:rRNA from 1 species
UUGGAGGGCAAGUCUGGUGCCAGCAGCCGCGGUAAUUCCAGCUCCAAUAGCGUAUAUUAAAGUUGUUGCAGUUAAAAAGCUCGUAGUUGAAUUUCGGGGUCAGUAGGUCGGUCGUGCCACUGGUAUGAACUGGUUUUACUGAUUCCUCCCUCUUGAAGAACUGUAAUGCCAUUAAUUUGGUGUUGCAGGGAAUCAGGACUGUUACUUUGAAAAAAUUAGAGUGUUUAAAGCAGGCUUUAGCUUGAAUACAUUAGCAUGGAAUAAUGAAAUAGGACGUUUGAUCCUAUUUUGUUGGUUUCUAGGAUUGACGUAAUGAUUAAUAGGGAUAGUUGGGGGCAUUAGUAUUCAAUUGUCAGAGGUGAAAUUCUUGGAUUUAUUGAAGACUAACUACUGCGAAAGCAUUUGCCAAGGAUGUUUUCAUUAAUCAAGAACGAAAGUUAGGGGAUCGAAGACGAUCGAGUACGUACCGUACGUACGUUACCUAACUAAUUAAACUAGUCGGACCGUAACGGUAAGGGUACGUACGGUAGUAGUAGUUAAGUUUUUAAAUUUUUAAGUACGUACCUACUU